rnacentral:rRNA from 1 species
UAGUCGUUGCGCGGUAGCCGUAGAUUUGCAUUUCGGAGCGGCAGCGGGUCCUUCGGGAUGCCGGCGAGCGGCGGACGGGUGAGUAAUGCCUAGGAAUCUGCCUGGUAGUGGGGGAUAACUCGGGGAAACUCGAGCUAAUACCGCAUACGUCCUACGGGAGAAAGCGGGGGAUCUUCGGACCUCGCGCUACCAGAUGAGCCUAGGUCGGAUUAGCUAGUUGGUGAGGUAAAGGCUCACCAAGGCGACGAUCCGUAGCUGGUCUGAGAGGAUGAUCAGCCACACUGGAACUGAGACACGGUCCAGACUCCUACGGGAGGCAGCAGUGGGGAAUAUUGGACAAUGGGCGAAAGCCUGAUCCAGCCAUGCCGCGUGUGUGAAGAAGGUCUUCGGAUUGUAAAGCACUUUAAGUUGGGAGGAAGGGCAGUAAGUUAAUACCUUGCUGUUUUGACGUUACCGACAGAAUAAGCACCGGCUAACUUCGUGCCAGCAGCCGCGGUAAUACGAAGGGUGCAAGCGUUAAUCGGAAUUACUGGGCGUAAAGCGCGCGUAGGUGGUUUGAUAAGUUGGAUGUGAAAGCCCCGGGCUCAACCUGGGAAUUGCAUCCAAAACUGUCUGACUAGAGUAUGGCAGAGGGUGGUGGAAUUUCCUGUGUAGCGGCGAAAUGCGUAGAUAUAUGAAGGAACACCAGUGGCUAAGGCGACCACCUGGGCUAAUACUGACACUGAUGU